GCAUUGGAAUUAAUUAGCCCUGAGAUUGAUGACAAGGCCACUAUCCUUGAAAAAGAACAGCUCCGAGGUUUUGCAAAUCCAAAGACAUUACACGACAGACACUAGAAUACAAGUAGAUCAAAACCAUCGCCCCACGCGAUGAUAGCUUGAUGAUGAUACUAUCAAAAUAAUGAGACUCAACUUCUGGAGUUGGAAAACAACCACUGAAUCAGAUCAAAGAAAUAUUUGACAUUUCAGACUCAUUUGUUCUAACCCCACAUGUAAGUACAAAAGGUAUAUAAAUAUACUCUACUCCAAGAGUCUUCUGAUUAAUCCUGCAUAAUAUUAAUAAUAACCAUUAAUUGGUCUUCCCUAAUACAUUUUGAGGAUAACAAAUAUUGCAAAGCAAAAGGUAGUAUUUACCCCCCACAGCCCUUGGCAAGUUAUACAUUCUGCACUUUGCUUGAGAUCUCUUUUACUUUUUCUCCUUUUUCCUGCCAUCAAUAAGCCUCAAAUUCUCAGAACUCAAAAACAAACAGAUGUAUUUGCUAUGACACUUUUGAAAAGCAAAGAGUAUAUAUAUACCAUUACAUGACUGUUUAUUAGAAUUUUUAUCAUGUAAUACUAUUGAAAGUGAUGGAGAAAGAUAAAGAGAAUCGACCAUAGCAAGUAGUUAACACAUUUUGUAUCAAAAAUAAAAAAUAAAAAAAAACGCAAAAGGAAAAGAAGUAUCCAAUUUAUUAGAAAUCGUUGUCACAAUUAUAGAAGGUUCCAAAAUCGUUGUCACAAUUAUGUAAUACCAUAUUGCUACAAAUUGCCUGGGUCAUGAUAACUUGGGAAUGAAUAAGGCAAAUAAGAAGUUCACAAAGGGAUCCACCAUAAGUUGGUACCAGAAAAGGUCCCUAAUGUUGACAAGUAACAAGAUCUCAUUAGCUCCCUCAACUUCUCAUCCUCUAGGAUAUUUCACCAGACCAAAAAUCGUACUUCACUAUAACAGAAACAAAACAAAUCUACAGUAACUUGCACACAAAGCUUGUGUCCCAAAGACAAACUUAACUUAAAAGACUUAUCCUUAACAAACUCAAACCAAAGUUUCAGUCAAUUCCUCCUCAAUCAAAUAGCACACAGGAAAGGACCUUUAUAAUAAGACUAUAGUGAAUUAGUUGCAUAUCAGAAUAUCUGUUCGAGUUAAAAAAGGCAAUCACAUACAACAAGGAAACGAGAGCACAAUAUCCAAUUCUGAAAGCAUAUAAUAACUAAUCUUAUAAUAUGUUUUUUUUUUGGGUUUGGGGGGUUGGUUGGUAUUGUAUUAAACUAUUAAUCUUAGAUAUACAUGAUAAUACUUGCUCACCAUUCCCUUGCUCUCGUAAUAAUCAUCAAGGGCCCAUUGAUACUUUGACUGAUUCAACCCAAACCAACGCGCCAGAUGAUCAUCUAGACUUGAGUGGGCUGUAUAAGAAAGGUAAAUGGUUAUGAACUAUGCAAAAAAUUAAUUUAAAAAAUAGAGAAAAAAAAUAAAAUAUUUUUUUAUAAUGACGCCCAAACAAGCACAAAGUACAAACUUUCUUUUGUGUAGACACCGACUUUGAGAAAGAAAAGAAAAAAGAGAGAAAAAAAAAAGGGUAAGAGAAAAGAAAAGAAUAGAAUAAAGGCAAGGAAAAUCAAUUUUUGCACCAAAAAGAGGUAGAAUCGUGAUGGCGUAUACAUAAGCAACUAGAGUGCUUGUUUUAAACUUUCUUUUAAAGAAAAAAAAAUCAUUUUACAACUUAUAUUUUCUUUUGAAAAAUUAUUUGUGCAAUUUACGGAAAAGGUUGGGGAAUUUUUUUUUACACGAAAGCAAUUUUCUAGUGAAAUAGGUUGAAGCAAGCUCAGUCUAACUAGUUCCUCAUUUUUCUCUAGCCAUUUUGAUAAUUUGAUGUUACUGACCUACAAAAUGCAUCUAAAGAAAGAAAUCAAGACAAUGCUUAUUGAGCCAUGUGAUCAUGCUCUAUUGAUUAUUGAUACAUCUAUGGGCCGACAAGAAAGCGACUUCGAUGCAAUCGUGGAUACACCUCAGGGAUUUAACAUUUUUCAUGAGUAUGUCGCGUAUAAUUGAAUUGAAUAUACUCUAGAAAUUAACCACCCCCAAGGAUAGAGUGGGUUGAAUGUAGCUGCAAAGUAGUUAUACUCUAAAAGAACAAAGCUAGAUUCAAGUCCUGAUAUAGGCAAUAGUUGUAUAAACCUCUUAUUGUCUUAUACAUAACAAAAAUAAAACCAAUAGAGGAUUAAUUUCUAAAUUAUACUUAUAAUUAUAGGGAAUUGCAUUGGAAUUAAUUAGCCCUGAGAUUGAUGACAAGGCCACUAUCCUUGAAAAAGAACAGCUCCGAGGUUUUGCAAAUCCAAAGACAUUACACGACAGACACUAGAAUACAAGUAGAUCAAAACCAUCGCCCCACGCGAUGAUAGCUUGAUGAUGAUACUAUCAAAAUAAUGAGACUCAACUUCUGGAGUUGGAAAACAACCACUGAAUCAG
rnacentral:lncRNA from 1 species